UAGGGAAUAUUGCGCAAUGGGGGCAACCCUGACGCAGCAACGCCGCGUGAGUGAGGAAGGUCUUCGGAUUGUAAAACUCUUUUCUUAGGGAAAAAUGGUCAUGGAGCUAAUACCCCAUGAUGUGAUGGUACCUAAGGAAUAAGCACCGGCUAACUUCGUG
rnacentral:rRNA from 1 species